AUGGCAGGUAUAGCAGCCCUGCUACAUCUUCUGCAGCUUCUAGCCACCGCGUUAGUGCUAGUCUCGGCCAACGCUGCAUCGCCCAACUGCACAAGCAGAUGCGGCAAUAUAAGUAUACCUUGCCCAUUCGGCGUCAAUGCCGGGUGCCACCGUGAGGGCUUCAAGCUUGCCUGCAACGAGACAUAUCAUCCCCCAAAGCUCUUCAUGAACAGUUCCGGAGUCGAAGUGCUUGAAAUAUCAGCGCAAGACAGCACACUGUGCAUUGACAGUGGGAUCCUCACCUUGGAGGGGGAUGAGUGGCUCGACGGUUUCAUCCAUAUGAACUGGUCAGUCCCCCUCGACAACAGCCUAUAUAGGGUGUUAGGAAGCAGAAUGAAAUCGUUGUUAUGGGGUGUGGAAUCACUGUGUAUCUUCAAUGGCAUCCUCCUCGCGGAGAACCUGCAGACACCACUUGUUCUCCAGAAUGCAUGCCGGAUCAUCCUGUGAUAGCAACUGAUGGCACAUGUUCUAGCAGUGGUUGUUGCAGUGCAAACAACAAGCAGUUUGACUCAAAUAUGUUUCAACUCAUGUCUUGCUUUGGUGGAGAGCAACUGGAGGAGCAAGAAGAAUAAUGUCAUGGUGCUGCAGAAGGCGGUAUCAUUUGAGACCAGCCUUGGUGCCUCUAAAGGCGUACUACACACCAUACCAGGAGUACCAAUUAGAACGGCUGUCAGUUGGGUGUUCAGUAACAUGUCAUGUGCUGAGGCUAGCAAUUCAAGUGACUUUGGAUGCCUCAGUGACAACAGUGAGUGCCUUGAGUACCUUAAACCCGAUGAUUCAAGAGGAGGUCACACAAGCCAGUGUUGGCAUGGCUACGAAGGCAACCCCUACGUGCAACACGGAUGCCAAGAUAUUGACGAGUGUACAAGUCAAGGUGAGUACUCCUGCUUUGGCCAGUGCAUCAACUUGAUAGGGUCAUAUACCUGUACCUGUCCCCAUGGCACCACUGGUAACCCCCCAAAACAAAAUGGAUGCUCUUCAACCAAAUCAAAAAAUUCAGGAUUUGCCAUUGUGGUAGGAAUCGGCAGUAGUGUAGGCACUCUUACAAUUAUCCUCAGGGCUUGUUCGUUUAAUCCUUUCCCCGAGGGGAUUGGAGAGGUUUGAAAGGGAUUGGUGAGGAAUUUGAUUUACAGGGGAUUUAAUCCAUCACAAUCCCUUUUAACCCCCCUCAAACCCAAUGCAACCGAACAAGGCCUCAGUGUUCUGAUUGUAAGACAAAAGCUCAUAGUUUGGAAAGCAAGGAAGUCAAGAGAUUUUUUCUUCAAAAAGAACAGAGGGUUGUUGCUACAGCAGCUUGUGGACAAGGAUAUCGCUGAAAGGAUGAUGUUCAGCUUAGAAGAGCUUGAGAAGGCAACAAAUAAGUUUGACGAGGCUCGAGAACUUGGAGGUGGAGGCCACGGCAUUGUCUACAAAGGGAUUUUAUCUGACAAACGUGUUGUUGCCAUCAAGAAGUCAAAAGUUGAAAUUCAGAGAGAAACAUAUGAUUUCAUCAAUGAGGUUGCCAUCCUUUCUCAAGUGAACCACAGGAAUGUAGGGAAGCUUUUUGGAUGUUGCCUUCAGACAGAAGUUCCAUCGUUGGUCUACGAAUUCAUUUCAAAUGGAACUCUUUCUGAUCAUCUUCAUGUCAGCACUCCACUAUCAGUGCCUUGGAAAGAUUGGCAAAGAAUAGCCCUUGAAACCUCAAGAUGCCUUGCUUAUCUGCACUCAGCUGCUUAUUCAUCUUGCGAGUUAACCAAGACAGACUCUUUGAGAUGCUAG
rnacentral:rRNA from 1 species